rnacentral:rRNA from 1 species
CGAGCGGACAGAUGGGAGCUUGCUUCCCUGAUGUUAGCGGCGGACGGGUGAGUAACACGUGGGUAACCUGCCCUGUAAGACUGGGAUAACUCCGGGAAACCGGGGCUAAUACCGGAUGGUUGUUUGAACCGCAUGGUUCAGACAUAAAAGGUGGCUUCGGCUACCACUUACAGAUGGACCCGCGGCGCAUUAGCUAGUUGGUGAGGUUAACGGGUGACCAAGGCGACGAUGCGUAGCCGAACCUGAGAGGGUGAUCGGCCACACUGGGACUGAGACACGGCCCAGACUCCUACGGGAGGCAGCAGUAGGGAAUCUUCCGCAAUGGACGAAAGUCUGACGGAGCAACGCCGCGUGAGGUGAUGAAGGUUUUCGGAUCGUAAAGCUCUGUUGUUAGGGAAGAACAAGUGCGGUUCAAAUAGGGCGGCACCUUGACGGUACCUAACCAGAAAGCCACGGCUAACUACGUGCCAGCAGCCGC